UGGGAAUAGAACUGCAGACGCAUAUACUAAAAUCCACCAUGACCGACGAAUAUGCUAGACGAAUAUAGAUUUAAAACUCCUUUCUACAUCUGAUGGAAACCAUUUUUAGCAAAGGUGGGAAUAGAACUGCAGACGCAUAUACUAAAAUCCACCAUGACAGACGAAUAUGCUAGACGAAUAUAGAUUUAAAACUCCUUUCUACAUCUGAUGGAAACCAUUUUUAGACCAAGAGUAGAGAGACUACGCCUCAUGAAGCUCAAAUCGAGGACGAUAGCAGUUCAAAGUAAAAAUAUAUAAUUAGUUAUA